AUGACUACCUUAGAUAUGACCAAAAAUAUUGCAUAUAUGCAUAGUUGUCAGGUGGUUUCUAGUGCAAACUAUUCAAUAAUCUAUUUAUGUUAUCCAGAACAAAAACACUUCACACACUUUUGUGUUUUGUCUAAUUGCAGGUGUAUGGGACAUUUGUACAAUCCACAUAUGAAGAUAAGGAAGAAAGAGAUGUUUAUUUGCUGUUCAAAAAGUUCUCUCACGUCACUUUUGGCCCAAGAGAAGAUAGAGUCUAAGUCUCUCACGUUCUGGAUACAGAUUCGGACUGCACAGACAUAUCUGACUCAAAACACCCACAACUUUUUCAUACGGACUCCGAAUUGGGUGAUUCUUUUUUUGUUGGAAACUAGAUUUCGUGCACUUUCCAACCCAAUUGGAAUAACCUUCAAAUUCGUCCGGAGCGUUGAGUUAUGGACGAAACAAUUUGGUGCUGCAGCAGAAUCCGAGUCAAACUACAAGUCCAAAGGUGUUACAUCACCUCCACUUGGGCCCAUUGGCCUUGUACGACCUAGGGUUAGUUUUAGACUGCCUUGGGACGUCCUCCCACCUCAUUGGCCGCCACCCCUUGCUCCUAUAUAA
rnacentral:rRNA from 1 species